CUCUCUCAUGUGCGGGCAACUUCCUAGGCAGGGAACGGACACAAAAGAGCUGCAUCUGCGGCCCUUGGACUAGCAUCCUCUUCCUGACCCAGCACACGCCCCUUGGUGGGGGUGGGGGAGGGGCGCACCAUAGAGAAGCCAGCUCUAUGAAGCCACCCACGGUGCAUCUUGCUUAGGCAUAGGCAGGGCGGGGGUGGGAGCAGGAUCCGGGCUGUCGCUCCGGCUGUCAGCCGCACAGGAGGCCACAUAGUGCUGCACAAGGCUGACCACAUCUGGGAAGGCCAGGAUUCGAGGUCUUGACAAGCAGUUGGAGUCCAGCCGGAAGCUAGAAUCGGCAUACUCGAUCCGUACGUUGGUGGGGCCACGGGUGGUUUUGACUGACAGCGUGAACAGGUAGCUGGGGUGGGUGCUGUCUCGAACGAGGAAUGUACCCUCCGGCAUCUUCUGUAGGUGCUGCCGGGCCUCGCUGGCUGUAAUGGAAC
rnacentral:lncRNA from 1 species